CAGGAAGACUGAUGAAGAGUGAUGAAAAACAUGCACACGUUUUAAAUGAAAUCAAUUAAAUGAUGAUUUUUUUGGAGACCGCAGCAGAGAUGAGCUGUCAUCUCCCAGACUUGCACUUGAGUUUCAAUUUACGGACUGAAGACCGGACAUUCUCCUUUAGGAUUUUCUGGUAGAGAGCAGAAUUCACGUUUCCCUCAAUCAUUGCAAGUUGACCAGACCCUGAAGCAGCAAAGCAUCCCCACACCAUCACACUUCCUCCUCCUGGAAUUCUGUGGUUGGUUUACGCCAGAUAUAACGGGACGCCUGUCUUCCAAACAGUCCACAUUCGACUCCUCAGUCCACAGAACAUUCUCCCAAAAGGUUUGAGGAUCAUCAAGGUGUGUUGUGGCAAAAUUUAGAUGAGCCUUAAUGUUCUUCUGGGUUAGCAGUACUUUUCACCUCACCACUCUUUCACGGAUGUCAUUUUUGCCCAGUGUCUAUCUGAUAGUGGAGUCAUGAACAGUGACCUUUAUUGAUGCAAGAGAGGCCUGUAAUUCCUUUGAUGUUAUCCUUGGCUUUUUGUGAUUUCCUGGAUGAGUCGUCGCCGUGCUCUUGGAGGAAUUUUGGAAGGUCGGCCCCUUCUGGGAAGGUUCACUACUGUGCUAUUUUUCCAUUUGGAGAUAACGGCUCUCACUGUGGUUCUCUGGAGUCCCAGAGCCUUUGAAAUAGUUUUGUAACCCUUCCCAGACUGAUGUAUUCAAUCACCUUCUUCCUCAUCAUUUCUGGAAUUUCUUUCUACUUUGACAUAGUGUGUUACCAGGUAAGACCUUUUAACAAACUUUAUACUGUUGAAAAAGUUCUAUUUAAGUGUUGAUUUGAUUGAACAGGGUUUGCAGUAAUCAGGCCUGGUUGUGUCUAGUGCAGCUAAACCACAUUAUGAAUGCAGUUUCAUAGAUUUCAGGAAUUAAUAACUACAGGGGCAAAUAUAUUUUCACACAGGCCCAGGUGGUACUGGAUAACUUUUUUUUGCUUCAAUAAAUAACAUUAUU
ensembl:lncRNA